rnacentral:rRNA from 1 species
AACGAACGCUGGCGGCAUGCCUAACACAUGCAAGUCGAACGAGACCUUCGGGUCUAGUGGCGCACGGGGGCGUAACGCGUGGGAACCUGCCCCUAGGUGCGGAAUAACUCCCCGAAAGGGGUGCUAAUACCGGAUAAAGUCUUCGGACCAAAGAUUUAUCGCCUUUGGAUGGGCCGGCGUCGGAUUAGCUAGUUGGUAGGGUAAAAGCCUACCACGGCGACGAUCCAUAGCUGGUCUGAGAGGAUGAUCAGCCACACUGGUACUGAGACACGGCCCAGACUCCUACGGGAGGCAGCAGUGGGGAAUAUUGGACAAUGGGCGAAAGCAUGAUCCAGCAAUGCCGCGUGAGUGAUGAAGGCCUUAGGGUUGUAAAGCUCUUUUACCCGGGAUGAUAAUGACAGUACCGGGAGAAUAAGCACCGGCUAACUACGUG